GGCCAGAAUCAGCUGAGAAAACAUGCUUCAGGAGGGUGUCUCAAUUCAGGAUUGGUGGAAACAGCAAGGAAAGAUUUUGAGAGGACAGAGUCAAAGGAAUCUUGGGGCAUAAAAUGUCUGCUGGUGUGUUCCCUGGAGUGGAUGAGUCUUCACAGAAGUCAGACAACUUGGCCUGAGCAGGACGGUCUUGGAACGUGGUCAGGCUCACAAAGACCUAAAUAUGGUCAGGCUCACAUGAGUAGCGAAGAUGUUUCCCAGGCACCUGUGCUGGCCUUGCACAGAUGGGAGUAACGGGGCCCAUGAGGGGUCCAUCGAGAACUCGUGAUUGGGGCGGUAUGUGUCCAGAGAGCCAUGGUUCCCAACUGCCGCCUGCCCGAACACUGAUCCCUUAACUGCUUUUGAAGUUUCCCUCCUGAGAAAGAGUGCUGCGUGAUAUUCUCUCCCCACAUAUAAAGGUCGUUUUCCAAUGAAAAUAGGAUCGAACGUGGUUAUUUACUUU
rnacentral:lncRNA from 1 species